rnacentral:rRNA from 1 species
UACGGAGGGUGCGAGCGUUAAUCGGAAUUACUGGGCGUAAAGGGUGCGUAGGUGGUUUGAUAAGUUAUCUGUGAAAGCCCUGGGCUUAACCUGGGAACUGCAGAUAAGACUGUUAGACUCGAGUAUGGGAGAGGGUAGUGGAAUUUCCGGUGGAGCGGUGAAAUGCGUAGAGAUCGGAAGGAACACCAGUGGCGAAGGAGGCUACCGGGCCUAAUACUGACACUGAUGCACGAAAGCGUGGGGAGCAAACAGG